rnacentral:rRNA from 1 species
UACGUAGGGAGCAAGCGUUGUCCGGAAUCAUUGGGCGUAAAGCGCGUGUAGGCGGUUACAUAAGUCUGUUGUGAAAGUCGGAGGCUCAACCUUCGAAAGCCGAUGGAUACUGUGUGACUUGAGUACGGGAAGAGGAGAGUGGAAUUCCUGGUGUAGCGGUGAAAUGCGCAGAUAUCAGGAGGAACACCAACGGCGAAGGCAGCUCUCUGGGACGUUACUGACGCUGAGACGCGAAAGCGUGGGGAGCAAACGGG